UUUCACAGAACCAGAAACAUAUGUCUUCUCUAAAGCUGAGAUACUGGGGAAGCUGAGAGAAUUUCUUACCUAAGUUCUUUCAUCACUCAAAUCUUUCUUGAAGUCUGAAGCAAGACACAACUCCAUCUCUAAUAAUGGCGUUGAGAUAACCAAUAGUGGCAUUUAGAGAGUAUAAAGGGUAAAAUGAACUUUGCUUAAAUGAAAGCAUCUGAGAUGGCUAUAUUAUCCUGGAUUAUCUGGGUGGGUGCAGUAUAAUCACAGAGAUCCUCGCAAGAGUCUGAGAAGGUGAUAAAAACAAAAAUCAGAUCAAUGUGGUGAAGAGCCAAGGAAUGCAGGUAGCUUCCAGAAACUAGAAAAGGGAAGGAAAUAGAUUCUUUCCUACAGCUUCCAGAACAAAAUGUCAUCUUGAUUUUUAGCCCAGUAAAACCAAUUUCAGAUUGCUGGCCUCCAAAACUGAAACAUAAUAAACAUGUGUUCUUCAUGUUUCCUUAAGCUCA